CUGGCCAACAUGGCGAAACCCUGUCUCUACUAAAAAUGCAAAAGUUAGCUAGACAUAGUGAUGCGUGCCUGUAAUCCCAGCUACUUGGGAGGCUGAGGCAGGAGAAUCGCUUGAACCUACGAGGCGGAGGUUGCAGUGAGCUGAGAUCGCGCCACUGGACUCCAGCCUGGGUGACAAAGUGAGACUCCAUCUCAGAAAAAAAAAAAAAAAGAAGAAAAUAUUUUUACAUGGUAAAAAAAUAUGUUUAUAAAAAAUACAGAGUGAUAAACCUCCACCUAACUUUGUUCCCCAACCUGUCCUGUCUUCAUCCCUCUUCAAAACACAAAAACUAGAAUAUGUUUUUUUGGAUCAUCUUCCAGGAUUUUGUGGCACAGGGACAGAUGCAUACAAAGAUGUGUUUUUAUUUUUUUUUCUCUUGCCUUUAGCCACCAGGCUGGGUUUCGCACCAAGAAACGUGUCUCCCGGAGCUUAGACCACUUGGUGAAUUCUCUUUCUUGUUAUCAGAAUUGAAGACCUGUAAUGCCUGGUUAGUGUCAAGUUCUUAUAGCUCUAUAGAUAAAGGUAACCAUCACCACAGUUGGGAUACAGAACUACUUCAUCACCAUAAAGAAAUUUUCAGGCUGGGCGUGGUGGCUCAUGCCUGUAAUCCCAGCACUUUGGGAGGCCGAGGUGGGCAGAUCAUCUGAGGUCAGGAGUUCGAGACCAGCCUGGCCAACAUGGUGAAACCCCGUCUCUACUAAAAAUACAAAAAUUAGCCGGGCGUGGUGGCGCACACCUGUCAUCCCAGCUACUCAGGAG
rnacentral:lncRNA from 1 species